rnacentral:tRNA from 1 species
GCUUGGUUAGCUCAGUCGGCAGGGCAUCAGAUUUUUCAUCUGAGGGUUGGGGGUUCAAGCCCCCCAUCGGGCG